GACGAACGCUGGCGGCGUGCUUAACACAUGCAAGUCGAACGGAAAGGCCCUGCUUUUGUGGGGUGCUCGAGUGGCGAACGGGUGAGUAACACGUGAGUAACCUGCCCUUGACUUUGGGAUAACUUCAGGAAACUGGGGCUAAUACCGGAUAGGAGCUCCUGCUGCAUGGUGGGGGUUGGAAAGUUUCGGCGGCUGGGGAUGGACUCGCGGCUUAUCAGCUUGUUGGUGGGGUAGUGGCUUACCAAAGCUUUGACGGGUAGCCGGCCUGAGAGGGUGACCGGCCACAUUGGGACUGAGAUACGGCCCAGACUCCUACGGGAGGCAGCAGUGGGGAAUAUUGCACAAUGGGCGGAAGCCUGAUGCAGCAACGCCGCGUGCGGGAUGACGGCCUUCGGGUUGUAAACCGCUUUCGCCUGUGACGAAGCGUGAGUGACGGUAAUGGGUAAAGAAGCACCGGCUAACUACGUG
rnacentral:rRNA from 1 species